GGAGGUCCGAACCCACGAGCGUUGAAAAGCUCGGGGAUGACUUGUGGGUAGCGGUGAAAUUCCAAUCGAGCCCGGAGAUAGCUGGUUCUCCCCGAAAUAGCUUUAGGGCUAGCCUCAAGGUGAGAGAUACGGAGGUAGAGCACUGAAUGUCCUAGGGGGUAUUGCACCUACCGAAGACUAUCAAACUCCGAAUGCCGUCAUCUUAUACUUGGGAGUCAGACUGUGGGUGAUAAGAUUCAUAGUCGAAAGGGCAACAGCCCAGAUCGUCAGCUAAGGUCCCUAAAUGUAAGUUAAGUGGUAAAGGAUGUGGGAUUGCACAGACAACCAGGAUGUUGGCUUAGAAGCAGCCACUCAUUCAAAGAGUGCGUAAUAGCUCACUGGUCGAGUGAUCCUGCGCCGAAGAUUUCCGGGGCUAAAACUUACUACCGAAGCUACGGCAUCAGUAAUGAUGGGUAGGGGAGCUUCCCAUACGGGUUGAAGCAUGACCGUAAGGACAUGUGGACAGUAUGGGAGUGAGAAUGUUGGCAUGAGUAGCGAGAUGUGGGUGAGAAUCCCACAGGCCGUAAACCCAAGGUUUCCAGGGGAAGGUUCGUCCGCCCUGGGUUAGUCGGGACCUAAGCUGAGGCCGAAAGGCGUAGGUGAUGGAAAACAGGUUGAUAUUCCUGUACUACCGAUAACCGUUUGAGAGAAGGGAUGACACAGUAGGAUAAGCUAAGCACACUGUUGGUUAUGUGUGCCCAAGCAUUGAGGCAGUCAAAGUAGGCAAAUCCGCUUUGAUAAUGCUGGGAUGUGAUGGGGAGCGAAAUUUAGUAGCGAAGUAGCUGAUUUCACACUGUCAAGAAAAGUCUCUAUCGAGGUUAAAGGUACCCGUACCGCAAACAGACACAGGUGGGUGAGGAGAGUAUCCUAAGGCCA
rnacentral:rRNA from 1 species